AAGCAUCCAGUGUUGCCACAGCUGUGAUGUAGGUUGCAGCUGCAGCUCAGAUUCAAUCCCUGGCCCAGGAACGUCCAUAUGCCACAGGGUUGGCAAAAAACAAAAACAAAAACAAAAACAAAACAAACAAACAAAAAAACUUGUUUACAAUUUCAGCUGAAUGAUGAGCCCUGUCCUUUGUCUUCAGACUGGUCCUUCCCUUCUCAAUUUAGGUGUCAUCCCACACUGGCAGCAGUGAUUUAAUACCAUCAUACUCUGGCAAUGGAGGUUUAAAAACAGCUAUUACUGCUUUUUAUAAUUUCAUUUAUGUACAAGUAUUUAUUAGUAUUAUUGUUGUAAAAAUCCAACAUGCUCAUGACACAAAGCUUAUAAAAUAGAAGCAAAAUCAAACAAAUACUUAAAACAUCUGUAAUCCCAACACUUGCGGAGAACUGGCGAUCGCAUUUUGAUUACUUCCUGCCACUUUUUAAAACAUUUUUAACAAUGAAAGUGGGAUCAUGUGAAGUUUUAACUUGCUUUUUUCUUUUCUUUUUUUGUCCUUUCGUCCUUUUAGGGCUGCUUCCCUCGGCAUAUGGAGGUUCCCAGGCUAGGGGGGUUGAAUCAGAGCUGUAGCCGCCUCCCCAGGCCUCGCUCAGUGGGUUAAGGAUCCAGCGUCGCCUUGGGUGCGGCCCUAAAGAGCAAAAAAAAAAGAAAAAGAAAAACCGGAGAUCUGGCAACACUGACCAACAUCCUCAUCUGGAAAUAAUAUCUGGAGAGUGUGUGGGGGGGAGGCUGCCCCGGUCUCCAUCGUCCUUUUGCUUUGUGUUAAAGAAAAAUUGUGAAGCAAGGGCACCACAAUCUCAUGCAGAGGUAACAAUGAACACAUUAAAGAUUGUGUUUAAUUCAUUCAUGGGGAGAGGGGAAGGUGUUACAACCAGUUUAAAGGAGAAUCCAAAGCUCGGGAAUAUGGAAAUAAUUGUGCCACUGGAGACAAAACUGGGGGAAGCAGGUCAGCUGAACCUCUGUGGGCAGAAUUUACAUGUCUAUAGACAAGAAUUAUUCUAACAACUUGGUAAAGCAGCUCCCUAGAAUCAGAGAAUCAGAUCACCUGGACCAGUAUGUUCUCAUCCAGUCUAGACUCCAGACAACACCUCGUUUUUCAUGCAAGUACGAAUUUCCCCCUACAUUUCCAUUUCCCAUUGUCCUAUCUGCCUGGCCCCAGAAGUGUUUGUCCACCCAGAUCCUAUAGAUGUGUCAUUUCUCUUGUUUUCACUCAGUUUCUGCCAUUAUAAAAUGGAGGAGUUCCCAUCGUGGCUCAGCGGAAAGGAAUCUGACUCGUAUCCAUGAGGAUGCGGGUUCAAUCCCUGGCCUCGCUCGGUGGGUUAAGGAUCUGGCGUUGCCGUGAGCUGUGGUGUAGGUUGCAGAUGUGACUCAGAUUCAGUUUUGCUGUGGUUGUGGCACAGGCUGGCAGCUGAAGCUCUGAUUUGACCCCUAGCCUGG
rnacentral:lncRNA from 1 species